rnacentral:tRNA from 1 species
CAUCAGAUGACUGAAAAGCAAGUAAUGGUCUCUUAAACCAGAUUAUAGUAAUAUUUAGCAAUUACUUCUGAUGA